rnacentral:rRNA from 1 species
UACGUAGGGUGCGAGCGUUGUCCGGAAUUAUUGGGCGUAAAGAGCUUGUAGGCGGUUUGUCGCGUCUGCUGUGAAAAUCCGGGCUCAACCCCGGACUUGCAAUGGGUACGGGCAGACUAGAGUGUGGUAGGGGAGACUGGAAUUCCUGGUGUAGCGGUGAAAUGCGCAGAUAUCGGGAAGAACACCCGUGGCGAAGGCGGCUCUCUGGGACGGUACUGACGCUGAGACGCGAAAGCGUGGGAGCGAACAGG